UAUAUCAUGUACUAAGAACAUAUUGAUGCUCUUCAUCAAGGUUAAAAGGUGGAUCUACUUCCCUUUUUCUUUUAUUGGUGGCUAAAGUAGAUUGAUGCUAAUUAUUGACAAGCUGGCAAGAAUAUUGAACUCUCAUAUCUGCAGAACUGGCUACAAAUUCAUAGGUUCUGGAUCAUGGAGAAGUAAACCUUGAUUUCUAUUUGUUUUUUUUUCAUGGCCGUCUUAGUAUAGAUUGUAAAAUAUGUACAAUAUAAGUUGCAAUUACUACCUGUGAUGUGCUGACAC
rnacentral:sRNA from 1 species